rnacentral:rRNA from 1 species
AGUGAACGCUGGCGGCAGGCCUAACACAUGCAAGUCGAACGGCAGCACAGCAGUAGCAAUACUGUGGGUGGCGAGUGGCGGACGCGUGUGGAAUACAUCGGAAUCGGCCUUAUCGUGGGGGAUAACGUAGGGAAACUUACGCUAAUACCGCAUACGACCUACGGGUGAAAGCGGAGGACCUUCGGGCUUCGCGCGAUAAGAUGAGCCGCUGUCGGAUUAGCUAGUUGGCGGGGUAAAGGCCCACCAAGGCGACGAUCCGUAGCUGGUCUGAGAGGAUGAUCAGCCACACUGGAACUGAGACACGGUCCAGACUCCUACGGGAGGCAGCAGUGGGGAAUAUUGGACAAUGGGCGCAAGCCUGAUCCAGCCAUGCCGCGUGGGUGAAGAAGGCCUUCGGGUUGUAAAGCCCUUUUGUCCGGAAAGAAAAGCAUCGGGUUAAUACCUCGGUGUUCUGACGGUACCGGAAGAAUAAGCACCGGCUAACUUCGUGCCAGCAGCCGCCGUAACAC